rnacentral:lncRNA from 1 species
CCCAUCCAUAACAUUUUAAUAGGACAAAAUCAGAAUAUGUACCCAAAGCAAACGUAAAAAUAGCAUUGAAAUGUUGUACCAUACGGCUUAGAUUAACGGAAAUCUCUCAUGACAAUAUCCUUUGUCUUUGUCUCUCACAUUCCAAACGAAAGAGAUGUAUAUACUGAUAUGCCAAGAAUGUUGAUGUACGAUGUACUGAAACGUGACUUUUAUAAAAGUUUCAAGUCAAGGUUACAUACGGCAUAAUGUUCGAGUUAUAAAAACAUUGCAAAUUGUUUAGUGGACUGAUUUGUGUGUUUCACAUAAGAAGUUUAAAUCAGUUCUCAAGUGUUUAUCUCUUGGAUAAGAAUCCGUUAACUUAGAUACUAAUAAGUUUAUCAAGUGAUCCUGUGAUUGUCAUCAACUAUCAGUGCAAAACGUAAAAAAAAGUAGGGCCUACCACAAACUUAUCUGAAAUGUUAUGCUCUAUGAAUAUGGAUUUAGAUUUAAUAUGGCAAGUCAAAUUACAUCCAGAGUUAUAUGACACACAACAUGUAGAUUUUCAAAAUUCUAAAGUUCGAGAAGCCACGUGGAUAUCAAUAGCUGCUGAAAUACAUGCAACUAAAUUCGUAUGCAGUAGCAGAUGGAAGGAAUUGGAAAAGAACUUUAGAGAAAUGAUUAUUGCAAAAAGAAAUGAUAUACCCUGCAAAAGACCGGGAUAUACCCGGCAGAUGUUAUUCCUUGCUCCGUUUAUACACGCCGAAGAAGAUAUUCUUGAGGGCAAAAUAUCAAGAUCCACAGCAUCCAGUUCCACAGAUCCACUAAUCGAUUUCUUCUUAAGUAUGGGGAAGAUAGUUCAAAAAUUCGAUAAGACAACUCAAGUAGAAAUGAAAAAUAAAGUUAGGUUUAAAGAAUCUUUAUUCUCAAUAAAAACAUACAUGUCACUUACUUGAGAACAUAACAACAUAGGUAGGUAAGGUUAGGUUCGACAACAUCUGGACAAAACACGACAAUAAACAAGUCCCAUUCAACACAUUCAUUUUUCGGGUAUUUGAUUUAUAUUUAGUAAAUAUCUGUAAAGUUGAGAUUUGAAUGCGUUGAAUGAGUGCAGGUUUCUUAUGCGUGAAGGUAUUUUAUUGUAAAGCUGUGCUCCUUCAAAUGUGAGCAUUUUUUUGCCAUAGUUUGUUCUUAUUUUUGGUAAAACUAAUAGACUUGCUCGCCGGGUACUUCGUUGAGUGACUUGUUUGUGUUGUGUAAGAGUAAUAUUUGAGUGUAUGGUUUUGUUAACAACUUUUCUGAUGAAAAUGCAUAUGUUGUAAGUGUAUAAUUGUUUUAUAUUCAUUAAUUUUGUGUCUUUGUAUAUCUUUGUCGUUUCUGUUAGGUAUGGAUAGUUGAAAAUCAUUUUUAUUAGUUUAUUUUGUGUGAUUUGUAGUUGUGACAGUUUUGUUUUUGGUGCACUGCCCCAUAUUUCAAUCAAGUAUAACAAAUGUGGCUUCACUAGUGAAUUAUAUAUAGUGUAUCGUAAUCUUUGUGGAAUACAUCUGACUAUACUGUGCAGUGCUCCGACUAAUGACGAAAGCUUAUUUUUGACGUAAUCAAUGUGAACAGUCCAGGAGAGGGAGCUGUCUAUUCUAAGCCCAAGAUAUUUUUCGCAGGAUUUUAGCUGUAACGGCUCAUUAUUUAUUGUAAGUGGAUUAAAUAAAGUUUUUCAAUUGGUCCGUAACGCGGAGAUGUCAAUGGAUGGGAACAAACCUGCUUAUUUUCCGUCAUGGGGAUGGCCUUUCAUAUUGUUUUCUGUGUUUUAUAUUUUAUUAAACUAUCCGAAUAAAAUCAUUAGGUACUUAGAUCACAAUUAAACCACCGAUAACAUAAUUUACAAAAUAGCUAUAAAACCAGAAGGUACUUCAAGAUUUAAUUUCUUUUUUAUUCUACAUCAUAAUAUACUUACCCCUCACUGAGUGCAUUCGCAUUUAGUUAUAAAUAUGUUAAUUUUCUUUAAAAGGAGCUAAGGCGCCAUCUAGUCGAUUAAUUUGCGCAAUAAUACGAAUUGUGAAUGUAGUGACUAUUAUAGGAGUUAAUAUUGAUAUAAGCGCAAUUAUUUAACAUCUUUGGUGCCUAUUAUUACUUAUUUUUUAUUCUAAGAUAUUUUUGUUGUAAUAUUAAGCAAUGUAUUCGGUGACCCAUAUGAUAAAUGGUAUAUUUGUAAGCUUAUAAUUGCUAUUAAAGUACUCAAAAUA